rnacentral:rRNA from 1 species
GACGAACGCUGGCGGCGUGCUUAACACAUGCAAGUCGAACGGAAAGGCCCUGCUUUUGUGGGGUGCUCGAGUGGCGAACGGGUGAGUAACACGUGAGUAACCUGCCCUUGACUUUGGGAUAACUUCAGGAAACUGGGGCUAAUACCGGAUAGGAGCUCCUGCUGCAUGGUGGGGGUUGGACAGUUUCGGCGGUUGGGGAUGGACUCGCGGCUUAUCAGCUUGUUGGUGGGGUAGUGGCUUACCAAGGCUUUGACGGGUAGCCGGCCUGAGAGGGUGACCGGCCACAUUGGGACUGAGAUACGGCCCAGACUCCUACGGGAGGCAGCAGUGGGGAAUAUUGCACAAUGGGCGGAAGCCUGAUGCAGCAGCGCCGCGUGCGGGAUGACGGCCUUCGGGUUGUAAACCGCUUUCGCCUGUGACGAAGCGUGAGUGACGGUAAUGGGUAAAGAAGCACCGGCUAACUACGUG